UAGGGAAUCUUCGGCAAUGGACGGAAGUCUGACCGAGCAACGCCGCGUGAGUGAAGAAGGUUUUCGGAUCGUAAAGCUCUGUUGUAAGAGAAGAACGAGUGUGAGAGUGGAAAGUUCACACUGUGACGGUAUCUUACCAGAAAGGGACGGCUAACUACGUGCCAGCAGCCGCGGUAAUACGUAGGUCCCGAGCGUUGUCCGGAUUUAUUGGGCGUAAAGCGAGCGCAGGCGGUUAGAUAAGUCUGAAGUUAAAGGCUGUGGCUUAACCAUAGUACGCUUUGGAAACUGUUUAACUUGAGUGCAGAAGGGGAGAGUGGAAUUCCAUGUGUAGCGGUGAAGUGCGUAGAUAUAUGGAGGAACACCGGUGGCGAAAGCGGCUCUCUGGUCUGUAACUGACGCUGAGGCUCGAAAGCGUGGGGAGCAAACAGGAUUAGAUACCCUGGUAGUCCACGCCGUAAACGAUGAGUGCUAGGUGUUGGGUCCUUUCCGGGACUCAGUGCCGCAGCUAACGCAUUAAGCACUCCGCCUGGGGAGUACGACCGCAAGGUUG
rnacentral:rRNA from 1 species